rnacentral:rRNA from 1 species
UAGGGAAUCUUCCACAAUGGACGCAAGUCUGAUGGAGCAACACCGCGUGAGUGAAGAAGGUCUUCGGAUCGUAAAACUCUGUUGUUAGAGAAGAACACGAGUGAGAGUAACUGUUCAUUCGAUGACGGUAUCUAACCAGCAAGUCACGGCUAACUACGUGCCAG